ACGGCUGAGGAGAAGGAGCAGGAGCAGCAGAGUUACAGCCUCUGGCUCAAGGGGCAGGGAGCAGCUCCCCCAGAGCCUCUGCAGGACCUGCUGCCCCUGCAGCAGUUCUGGGCAGACCCAGCCCUGGAGCCCAGCGAGCGCUUCCUGCGGGAUUUCAUCCUGGAGCAGCGCUACAGGGAGCAGCAGGACGAGGAGGAGGAGGAGGAGGAGGCUGAAGGCCCCCCAGCUGUGGUGGAUUCCUCGGAGGAGGGGGAGCUGUUCCUGGCCAGGCAGCAGGAGUUUGAGCUGAGCUACAGCAGCCGGCCCCCAGGAGCAUGGAGAGGGGCAG